rnacentral:rRNA from 1 species
GACGAACGCUGGCGGCGUGCCUAAUACAUGCAAGUAGAACGCUGAAGGAGGAGCUUGCUUCUCUGGAUGAGUUGCGAACGGGUGAGUAACGCGUAGGUAACCUGCCUGUUAGCGGGGGAUAACUAUUGGAAACGAUAGCUAAUACCGCAUAACAGUAGAUAUCGCAUGAUAUCUACUUGAAAGGUGCAAUUGCAUCACUACCAGAUGGACCUGCGUUGUAUUAGCUAGUUGGUGAGGUAACGGCUCACCAAGGCGACGAUACAUAGCCGACCUGAGAGGGUGAUCGGCCCCACUGAGACUGAGACACGGCCCAGACGCCUACGGGAGGCAGCAGUAGGGAAUCUUCGGCAAUGGACGGAAGUCUGACCGAGCAACGCCGAGGGAGUGAAGAAGGUUGUCGGAUCGUAAAGGUCUGUUGUAAGAGAAGAACGAGUGUGAGAGUGGAAAGUUCACACUGUGACGGUAUCUUACCAGAAAGGGACGGCUAACUACGUG